AGAGUUUGAUCCUGGCUCAGGAUAAACGCUAGCGGCAGGCCUAACACAUGCAAGUCGAGGGGCAGCACGGAGGAGUAAUCUUCUGGUGGCGACCGGCGGACGGGUGCGUAACGCGUAUGCAACCUGCCUCGAACUGGGGGAUAAUCUGGAGAAAUCCGGUCUAAUACCCUAUAAUAUCUUGGGAGGCAUCUUCCGAGGUUGAAAACUCCGGUGGUUCGAGAUGGGCAUGCGUUGUAUUAGCUGGUUGGUGAGGUAACGGCUCACCAAGGCUACGAUACAUAGGGGGACUGAGAGGUUAACCCCCCACACUGGUACUGAGACACGGACCAGACUCCUACGGGAGGCAGCAGUGAGGAAUAUUGGUCAAAGCCUGAACCAGCCAUGCCGCGUGCAGGAAGACGGCGCUAUGCGUUGUAAACUGCUUUUAUACGAGGGUAAACCUAUCUACGUGUAGAUAGCUGAAAGUAUCGUAUGAAUAAGGAUCGGCUAACUCCGUGCCAGCAGCCGCGGUAAUACGGAGGAUCCGAGCGUUAUCCGGAUUUAUUGGGUUUAAAGGGUGCGUUAAGUUAGAGGUGAAAGCCCGUCGCUCAACGACGGAACUGCCUCUGAUACUGCCUGGCUAGAGAAUGGUUGCCGUAGGCGGAAUGUGUGGUGUAGCGGUGAAAUGCUUAGAGAUCACACAGAACACCGAUUGCGAAGGCAGCUUACGAAGCCAUAUCUGACGCUGAUGCACGAAAGCGUGGGGAGCAAACAGGAUUAGAUACCCUGGUAGUCCACGCCGUAAACGAUGAUAGCUCGUUGCCGGUGAUAUACGAUCGGUGACUUAGCGAAAGCGUUAAGCUAUCCACCUGGGGAGUACGUUCGCAAGAAUGAAAC
rnacentral:rRNA from 1 species